UAACACGUAGGGUGCGAGCGUUGUCCGGAAUUAUUGGGCGUAAAGGGCUCGUAGGCGGUCUGUUGCGUCGAAAGUGAAAUCCCGAUGCUCAACAUCGGGCCUGCUUUCGAUACGGGCAGACUAGAGGUAGGCAGGGGAGAAUGGAAUACCUGGUGUAGCGGUGGAAUGCGCAGAUAUCAGGUGGAACACCGGUGGCGAAGGCGGUUCUCUGGGCCUUACCUGACGCUGAGGAGCGAAAGCGUGGGGAGCGAACAGGAUUAGAUACCCUGGUAGUCCACGCCGUAAACGUUGGGCGCUAGGUGUGGGGGGUUUUCCAUGCCCUCCGUGCCGCAGCUAACGCAUUAAGCGCCCCGCCUGGGGAGUACGGUCGCAAGACUA
rnacentral:rRNA from 1 species